rnacentral:rRNA from 1 species
AUUGAACGCUGGCGGCAGGCCUAACACAUGCAAGUCGAACGAGUGGCGGACGGGUGAGUCAUGUCUGUGCAACCGCCCGAUGGAGGGGGAUACCUACUGGAAACGGUAGCUAAUAACGCAUUCAAUCAGAUGUGCCCAGAUGGGAUUAGCUAGUUGGUGGGGUAACGGCUCACAAAGGUGACGAUCCCUGGCUGGUCUGAGAGGAUGACCAGCCACACGGGAACUUAGACAGGGGCCAGACUCCGACGGGAGGCAGCAGUGGGGAAUUUUGCACAAGGGGGGCAAGCCUGAUGCAGCCAUGCGGCGUGUAUGAAGAAGGCCUUCGGGUUGUAAAGGACUUUCAGCGGGAAGGCGUUACCCGCAGAAGAAGCACCGGCUAACUCCGUGCCAGCCGCCGCGGUAAUAC